UGGCGGAUCAGUGGCGAACGGGUGAGUAACACGUGAGCAACCUGCCCCCGACUCUGGGAUAACUCCGGGAAACCGGUGCUAAUACCGGAUAUGACACUGCCUGGCAUCUGGUGGUGUGGAAAGAUUUAUCGGUCGGGGAUGGGCUCGCGGCCUAUCAGCUUGUUGGUGGGGUAACGGCCUACCAAGGCGACGACGGGUAGCCGGCCUGAGAGGGCGACCGGCCACACUGGGACUGAGACACGGCCCAGACUCCUACGGGAGGCAGCAGUGGGGAAUAUUGCACAAUGGGCGAAAGCCUGAUGCAGCGACGCCGCGUGAGGGAUGAAGGCCUUCGGGUUGUAAACCUCUUUCAGCAGGGAAGAAGCGCAAGUGACGGUACCUGCAGAAGAAGCGCCGGCUAACUACGUGCCAGCAGCCGCGGUAAUACGUAGGGCGCAAGCGUUGUCCGGAUUUAUUGGGCGUAAAGAGCUCGUAGGCGGUCUGUCGCGUCUGCUGUGAAAACCUGGGGCUUAACCCCGGGCCUGCAGUGGGUACGGGCAGACUAGAGUGCGGUAGGGGAGACUGGAAUUCCUGGUGUAGCGGUGAAAUGCGCAGAUAU
rnacentral:rRNA from 1 species